UGGCUUUUGUCUCUGGCCUGAACUGCAGGGAUCUGGCUGUGCCUAGAUGUGAAGAGGCAAUGCAGUAAGGAAGAGGGCACAUGUGUGUGCAAGCUUGGGCAGGUGCACAUGGAGCCAGCAAGGAUUCUCCAGGGAGCCACCAUCACCCUAAUAUCCAGCGGGAGCUGGUCUGAGCUACGUUACUCCCAAGCCCUGCUAGCUGGCUCCCCAGGAAAGCAAGAACUUACACAAAUGACUCUUGGGCGUUUGUGGAAGAGCUGAGUCCUCAUUACUUCCUGUGGGCCUUUCUGAGCAUAAUAAGAUCCUCUCUCUUGCAUCAGCCAACCCAGGAGCUGCUGAUAAACCAUGGCACAAGCUUGAGCCAGAGUUGACCUUAACCAUUGACCGCCCACUGAGCACUCGUCGUGUGCUAAGCAUUCUCUCAUUAAACCCUCACCACAGUCCUGCAAGGUAGGUGCUGUGUUACCCCAUUUUACAGAUGAGGGGAACCAAGGCCUACAGUUCCACAGCAGAUAAUCUGCAGCAGAAAAAUUCAACCUCCAGGCCAUUCUGAAUGUAGUUAUUGGUGACAGAAGAAAAUAUUUGUCUCGGAAAGCCAUCCGUGGAGACCAUGAAACCAUUCCUACAUCUUGCCUUGAGCUAGCAGAAUGAAAUUGCCCAGAGUGGAAAAAGUCAAAAUGUUCUUUUUGAGAGCUUGGCUUUCCUGUGGGUGAUUUUCCAAGAGAUCUACCUCCAUCCACUGACAAGCCAUCCUGCCAUGUGCUAGACAUCGGUGUGAAGGAGAAGAACACAGAGACCAUUCCUGAACAAGGAAGCUGUGCAGGAGAAUGGAACAGGGGCCAAGACUGUACUUCAGAGAGAUGGGAGGCCAGGUAAUGGCCGAACUACAGUUCUCUAAGAUGUCUUCUCUCUUGGACCUUACUGGGACUGGAAAGGCACCUAAAGUUUUCCAGCACAGGAAAAAUUGAGACAUUGUGACCAGACCUGGUAGCAGCUAGAAGAGUUUACUAGACCCUUGGAUUCCAAGAACAGAGGCAUUCACUCUGCAGUAUGCUCAAAGACAGAGCGGGAAGUGUUGUCAGAAACAGGCAACAAAGCUAUUCCCAAUUCAUUACCUCCAGGGCUCAGGGUUCCCAGCAGGAGAAUGGAUCUCUAGAAGCAGUCUGUGGAGGCCAUGUCGUCUUCACUGAGCUCUUCAAAUAGCAUCAUGUGUGUUCUUUAACUGCAUUGCGCCCAAUGUCUGAAGUCAGUGGUGUUCACUGAUUAAGAACUGUUAUUUUUACAACUCACAGACACGUGUACCCAGAUGCUUUCUUGACAAGCCCCAAAUUGCCUGAUUAUGCAGCCCCAGAAUCUAUGCCAGUCUAAGAAAGGACCGCGACUCAAGGCCCAUUUUACACUGGCAUCUGGGAGCCCAGGAGGCCUCUGUGGAUCAUGGCUCCCCACUUCAUAGUCUAAACAGAAGUGCCUUGUCUGCUGUGUAUUGACUACAGUUUCCCCAAGCUAAGUCAGUGCUGUUGGCAGUGACUUGAAGAAACAGGCAACAAUCAAAGUGACUUGAAAAAACAUGCCAAUCAAGUGGUGACAAAGAAGAAUGAAGAACGGAUGAAAGCAGAUAGGAUAAAGGUGUGGUGGUGACAGCGGCAGGCACAUUGAACUCACAGUGGGGAAGGACAUGGUGGUGGGUGGUGCUCAGGGAGCUGCUGUCAGCAUAGCUCUCCUCCUCAUGGGUGUGUGGUUUGGGAGAUUGAGGUUCAGUUUUCCUAUUUGUAAAAAAAUGAAGGCACUGCGAGUGUGUCUCCAUCACAAGUUAGUAAGUUACUUACUUUGCUUGUUUGGUUGGUUUUGUUCUCCAGAGUAGGGUUUCUCUGGGUAGUCCUGGCUGUCCUGACACUAA